CGACCAGACUCCUACGGGAGGCAGCAGUGGGGAAUAUUGCACAAUGGGGGAAACCCUGAUGCAGCGACGCCGCGUGAGCGAUGAAGUAUUUCGGUAUGUAAAGCUCUAUCAGCAGGGAAGAAAAUGACGGUACCUGACUAAGAAGCCCCGGCUAACUACGUGCCAGCAGCCGCGGUAACACGUAGGGGGCAAGCGUUAUCCGGAUUUACUGGGUGUAAAGGGAGCGUAGACGGUCCCGCAAGCCAGAUGUGAAAGCCCGGGGCUCAACCCCGGGACUGCAUUUGGAACUGUAAGGCUAGAGUGUCGGAGAGGCAGGCGGAAUUCCUAGUGUAGCGGUGAAAUGCGUAGAUAUUAGGAGGAACACCAGUGGCGAAGGCGGCCUGCUGGACUGCAACUGACGUUGAGGCUCGAAGGCGUGGGGAGCAAACAGGAUUAGAUACCCUAGUA
rnacentral:rRNA from 1 species